AUACUGACCCAGCAGGGGAGGUACCAUGAUCGUGAAAGUGGUUUCCCAGGGCGAGGCGUCGCCACUGCACUCUGGAUGUGCUGACCCCUGAGAUUUCCCCAGAGUGGGAAAUUAUCUGCAUAAUUUGUGGCAGUCGGUGGCUUGCACACUCUCCCC